GGCUGAUGAUGCAAUAGUAUUGUCCGUACCAUCUGAGAUCUGGCGACUCCUCUGAUGCGCUUUUUUUCCCCCACUUAUUUCUGACUUUUGAGGCCU